rnacentral:rRNA from 1 species
AGCAGCCGCGGUAAUUCCAGCUCCAAUAGCGUAUAUUAAAGUUGUUGCAGUUAAAAAGCUCGUAGUUGAAUUUCGGGAUCAAUUUAUCGGUCGUGCCUAUGGUUUGAACUGGUACAAUUGGUUUCUCCCUUCUGACGAAGCAUGAUGUCAUUAAUUUGGUGUCGUGGGGAAUCAGGACUGUUACUUUGAAAAAAUUAGAGUGUUUAAAGCAAGCAUUAGCUUGAAUACAUUAGCAUGGAAUAAUGAAAUAGGACGUUUGAUCCUAUUUCGUUGGUUUCUAGGAUCGACGUAAUGAUUAAUAGGGAUAGUUGGGGGCAUUAGUAUUCAAUUGUCAGAGGUGAAAUUCUUGGAUUUAUUGAAGACUAACUACUGCGAAAGCAUUUGCCAAGGAUGUUUUCAUUAAUCAAGAACGAAAGUUAGGGGAUCGAAGACGAUCAGAUACCGUCGUAGUCUUAACCAUAAACUAUGCCGACUAGGGAUCGGAUGAUGUUAAUUUUUUAAUGACUCA